rnacentral:tRNA from 1 species
CCCUUGAUAGCUCAGUUGGCAGAGCGAUGGACUGUAAUUGAUACCAUUCCAAUCCAGGAAUAUCCACAGGUCGCCGGUUCAAAUCCGGCUCGAGGGA